rnacentral:tRNA from 1 species
GGCGGACAGGGGCGGAAUGAUUUUUGUCGACUGAAAAUCGGAAGGUCGGCGGUUCGACCCCGCCCCUGGCCA